rnacentral:rRNA from 1 species
GACGAACGCUGGCGGCGUGCUUAACACAUGCAAGUCGAACGGAAAGGCCCUGCUUUUGUGGGGUGCUCGAGUGGCGAACGGGUGAGUAACACGUGAGUAACCUGCCCUUGACUUUGGGAUAACUUCAGGAAACUGGGGCUAAUACCGGAUAGGAGCUCCUGCUGCAUGGUGGGGGUUGGAAAGUUUCGGCGGUUGGGGAUGGACUCGCGGCUUAUCAGCUUGUUGGUGGGGUAGUGGCUUACCAAGGCUUUGACGGGUAGCCGGCCUGAGAGGGUGACCGGCCACAUUGGGCCUGAGAUACGGCCCAGACUCCUACGGGAGGCAGCAGUGGGGAAUCUUGCGCAAUGGGCGGAAGCCUGAUGCAGCAACGCCGCGUGCGGGAUGCCGGCCUUCGGGUUGUAAACCGCUUUCGCCUGUGACGAAGCGUGAGUGACGGUAAUGGGUCAAGAAGCACCGGCUAACUACGUG